GAUGAACGCUGGCGGCGUGCCUAAUACAUGCAAGUCGAGCGAACAGACGAGGAGCUUGCUCCUCUGACGUUAGCGGCGGACGGGUGAGUAACACGUGGAUAACCUACCUAUAAGACUGGGAUAACUUCGGGAAACCGGAGCUAAUACCGGAUAAUAUAUUGAACCGCAUGGUUCAAUAGUGAAAGACGGUUUUGCUGUCACUUAUAGAUGGAUCCGCGCCGCAUUAGCUAGUUGGUAAGGUAACGGCUUACCAAGGCAACGAUGCGUAGCCGACCUGAGAGGGUGAUCGGCCACACUGGAACUGAGACACAGUCCAGACUCCUACAGGAGGCAGCAGUAGGGAAUCUUCCGCAAUGGGCGAGAGCCUGACGGAGCAACGCCGCGUGAGUGAUGAAGGUCUUCGGAUCGUAGAACUCUGUUAUUAGGGAAGAACAAAUGUGUAAGUAACUAUGCACGUCUUGACGGUACCUAAUCAGAAAGCCACGGCUAACUACGUG
rnacentral:rRNA from 1 species